rnacentral:rRNA from 1 species
UACGUAGGGUGCAGGCGUUAAUCGGAAUUACUGGGCGUAAAGCGUGCGCAGGCGGUUUGCUAAGACAGGUGUGAAAUCCCCCGGGCUUAACCUGGGAACUGCGCUUGUAACUGGCAAGCUAGAGUGUGGCAGAGGGGGGGUGGGAAUUCCACGUGUAGCAGUGAAAUGCGUAGAGAUGUGGAGGAACACCGAUGGCGAAGGCAGCCCCCUGGGCUAACCACGUGACGCUCAUGCACGAAAGCG